UACAGAGGAUGCAAGCGUUAUCCGGAAUGAUUGGGCGUAAAGCGUCUGUAGGUGGCUUUUUAAGUCCGCCGUCAAAUCCCAGGGCUCAACUCUGGACAGGCGGUGGAAACUACCAAGCUGGAGUACGGUAGGGGCAGAGGGAAUUUCCGGUGGAGCGGUGAAAUGCGUAGAGAUCGGAAAGAACACCAGCGGCGAAAGCGCCCUGCUGGGCCGACACUGACGCUGAGAGACGAAAGCUAGGGGAGCGAAUGGG
rnacentral:rRNA from 1 species